CACAAGCAUGGAAUCCACAACUCAGUGACUAGAGGCUGUUACUAGAAAUGAUUCGAGUACUCAGCCUUGUGGGUGGGCAGCAGGGCUCCAAAUUUCCCUUAAAAAAGACAAGUCCAAUAGGCCAACUAUAAAGUACGUGAGGCACGAUAGAAAAUUCUGGAAGGUGAAAAGAAAUAGCAUUCACCAGGUAGCAGGAAAAGAUAACCAGGCAGAGACACGGAGAAGUAAGCAGGUGUUUGGCAAACUGAGGAGCUGAGAAAACGUAUUGGAUCAUUCAAUGAAACAUAAUGAGGAGAAGCUUUUGUUAAUGAAAGAGCUUUCAUAAUUCUCCUUGUUAGCCCUCAAUAUGGUCUCGACAAUUCUGUUAAUUAAGACAAUUUUCAUCACUUGAGUCAUCGGCCACCUUUCAAAGGGGUCAACCAAGCUAAUAGGAAGAUCAACUAAUGGACAUCUUAAAAAACCCACACAGGGACUUUAGCAGAGAACAGGGCCUUGAGAUCACCUCGCUCCUUACUGUGCAGUGGUACAGGCCACACGGGUUGCAGAAGAGAUGGUCACAGCUGACAUGGCUUCCUGCUGGGCAGCAGCCCCCAUCCUGGAGAGUGGAUACCAUGGGGGCGGGAGCAUAGUCGUGACAACUGUGACACGGAAGAGGACUGUGGGCCAUGGCAGGUCCUGUGGUACCUUAGGACCACAAAAUCAAACUACUGAACUGGAAAAAUCUCUCAGUGUGGCUAUCAGUUGACCUGACAGAUGGUUGAACCCAGGCACCCAGAUCCCUCUGAGACAGAGGGCAGUCUCAGUCUCUCCGUCAUGGUGACCGGAGGUGUGUGCCAAGGAGGCUCCAAGAGACAAUAAUUCUCCAUCUCCUUCUCCACUAAAAUACAAAUGGCGACACAGGCUUUAAAGAGCUUUUGAAAACAGAGGUAAAA